UACGUAGGGGGCAAGCGUUGUCCGGAUUUAUUGGGCGUAAAGAGCGUGUAGGCGGCUUUACAGGUCCGUUGUGAAAACUCGAGCUCAACCUAGAGACGCCGGUGGAAACCGUAAAGCUAGAGUCCGGAAGAGGAGAGUGGAAUUCCUGGUGUAGCGGUGAAAUGCGCAGAUAUCAGGAGGAACACCCGUGGCGAAAGCGGCUCUCUGGGACGGUACUGACGCUGAGACGCGAAAGCGUGGGGAGCGAACAGG
rnacentral:rRNA from 1 species